GCGCGCCCGGUGGCCGUUGGCGCUCGCGCCGCGUCUUUCUUCUCGUACGCAGAACUCGGGCGGCGGCCUAUGCGUUUGCGAUUCGACGAGGAGUCGUCCGGGUGGUCGGCGGCGGCGGGCAGCUGCUCCGCCCCGCUCCGGGGGAGGCGGCGGCGGCAGCGGCCGCGGGAUUUGGAGCGGCCGGGGAGGCGGGGGUGGCCGGGGCCGGCUUGGAGGCCUGGCGCCACCCUUCGGGGCCUGCAAGGACCCAGUUGGGGGGGCAGGAGGGGGCCGGAGGAUGGGCAGAGACAGAUAAUCUCACUUCCAGAGAAAUGACUUGGAGAAAAAAAAGUGUUGGUCUUUUUGCUCUUUUGUAAUUAAAUCCGGAUGUACCUCAAAAGACUUAAGACUGUGGUGAUAAGAUGCUUUCCUCAGCAGAAAGGAGGGAAAAAAAACAACUGGAACUCAAAGCUUGAAAUUCUGUGGCAAAACAUGAGAUGUCCAGGAUUGGAGGUUGAAAAGAUUUCACUACAGUGUUCUGCAAUAGUUGGAGCAGAUAACUUUCAGUGUAGCCACAGCCAUGGACUCCAGAUUUCCAGAUUUUCAAGACCUGGACCUGGAACCCGAAAGAGCUUGUCACGAUGCGGCAGGAACACUGGAGGUAGAUUUUUUUUUAUUUUUGAAUUUUGGGACUGUUGACCUUGCUGUGAGAAAAGAGACAACGACUGAGCAAGCACUACCACCAGCACUGUUACUGGGAAUUAGAAGACCUGAGUUUCUGUCCAGACCCUCAGUGCAAACUGAGGAUGCUCCAUCCAAAGUGAAUUAUGUCCUGUGCCUCCUGAUUGCUGAGUGUUCACCUGGACCUUCUGACUACCUUCCCUGUGCUAUUCCAUCAGCCUACAGACCUGGUACCUGGAUUUUUGCCCGAGAUGAUUCCUACCACCUUACUACUGACGAAGACACCCAUUCCAGUGGACCACUGUGACCCAGGAGGCAUUCAGCCAUCAUGAUGUGGCCUUUACCUCCACUCCUGUCUUGUUCUACCCAGAUUCAGCACAGCCCUUUAUAGUGAAGUCAGAGUCCUCAAGCCAAAUAGCUAAAGCUGUUUUAUCACAACAAAGGCCUAGUUUGUUCCAUGAGUGUGCAUUUCAUUUCUUCAGUUAAAGCCUUCAGAGACACACAAUAAAUUUGGACCAGGGGAUUUUUUAGUUAUUAAUGCUCUCUGAAGAAAGGCAACAUCUUUUUGAGAGCAGCAUUGGACCACACCCCACAAUCUCAAAUGAUUGAAAUUCAUGAACAUCUAGGAUCCCGUGAAGGUCACUGGACCCUGUUUUUUCUACUUCAAAUCCUGUAGUAGCCUACUGAAUGAGAAAACAUAUUCUGACCCAUUGGGAUCAAAUCAAAGGCACAGUGAACUCCUCAUAGCAUCUUCUUUGGAAUUACUCAGGAACCAGAACUUUUUACACAAAUCAUUUUGUGACCGACUUAUUCUUAGAUCAUUGGUUUUCCAAAGGCUUUGUGGCCAUGAAGCCCUUUGAGUGAAAACUGUGCAGAAGCCCAGAGUAAAAGUGAAGCUGCUCUGGAUGAAGUAGUGAAGCAAGAGUAGGGGCCUGAAUCCUGCUACAACUAUCUUCCUUUACCACCGUGGUGACACCUAAGGGGACUUCCUUACAACACCUUGAACUCUUCCGAACACAGUUUGAAAACCACUGCCCCAGACAGCAAUAUGUUUGACCUGAAUGGCAUUCCAAUCUUUUCUGUACCUCCACUCAGCACAGUUCAUGUUCAGUAGAUGCUGAACAUUCUUAGAAAUACUGUGUGUGAACUUAGAAAAGUGCAAGAAGACAGGCAUGUCUUUGACCCCAGGAAUGAUCAUUUGCUGAAGAUGGUGUCAAGUGAACCUAGAUUAACAGCCCUCCACUCCAGAUGGAUAUCCAGUGAUUCCUAGAAUGGGAUAUAGCCAGAGAACAAUUCUAUGCACCCUACACUGACAGACUCCCUUAAGCAACACCAGAUGCUCUACUGGUACUUGAAGUACAUGACUUUGAAGUCUUGACCCUCCAUGAAUACCUGAAUUAUCAGCAAGCGGGUUUUGAAGCUGGUGCCUCAUUGAGGCCAUAUUAGAGCAACUUGUACAUUUGACCUCUUGUUAUCAGCCAUGGUACUCUACUUCGUGUGCAAGAGAUAACUAUGAAAGCCAAAUUCAAAUACUGGCAACAUUUCCUAAAGGGGCUCAAUAUCUAUCAUUCGUCUUCUUUUCCAAACUACACAUCACUGUAUGACUCAACCAGUAGCAGUUAUAUUGCCCCUUGGUUUUUAUUCAGUUUAACUACUGUUUCCAAGAUAAAUGAGCUAAUAAGCUUUAAAAAAAAAAAAAAAAAAGGCUGAAUUCUUUUUUCUUCAUCACUGGCAUAUCUGCCUAUUCUCCAGAAUUAUUAUGACUAUUCAGCUCACUUUAACAGUUGAACUUCAAGCGACAAUCUUUGAACACCCCUUCUCAUGUGAUUUAAAAUGAAACCAUUUGGAAAAGUUUCUUCUAGCCAGUAAUAGAUUUUUUUUUUAAUUGCUCUGCCUUGUGCCGAGAGAUGUUCUUUUAAGAUGAAUCUUUUGAUGUCUGAUACCACCAAAUAUAGGUGGUAGGGAGAGUUGGAGGCUGGCCCUUUGAGCAGGCCAUUAGCUUACUUGCUGGGCAUUUCCGAUAGCUUAUUGCCUACCUUUUUGCUGGAAACAAACUGAUUUGAAAAACAAAAUCUAUGAAGACUGCAGCUAAGGAUUUUAUCGGUAGACUUAAGAGCUUUUGUCCUUGUGGAUAUUUUAGUGGAACCACAUCAGUCUCAAUACUGUCAUUUUACACUGACUCAGAGCAGCUGACUUCAUUCCUUGCCAUGAUAUAUAUUUAAGGCAGGCAUUGUAACAGACAUAAAGACAACUUAUCUGUUUCAGCAGGAAGGAUUCAGUUUAUGAACUCUCAGACCAGAUCAUGUUGAACAAGGAGACUUUGAUGUGUGUCAUGAGAAAACUCAUUCUUUACUUCCCAGUCAAUUUAAAGGCCAGCUAUCCUGAGCUACUCGAAUGAAUGCACUGGUUAAACAUUGGAAAUAGUUUGUUUAUAUCCUUGUCUCUCUCUAGGCCAAUUGUGAUUACAUGACUCGACUCUACAUCUCGUCAAACAAGGCCUAGGUCUGGUUGCUGUAGACUGCUCGCCCUCAACAAAUAAAAUCUGGUUGACUAGCCUCCUUGUAUAUACAACUAUUAUUUGUUAAGAAGAAAUUAUCGUCAAUUUUCUACUACCUUCCAAUUGUCAGCUCUUUUUUUCCUCUCUGGUUUUUCCUAUACUUUACAGAAAAAGACAUUGAUCUAUACUGCCAUUCCCUCUAAUCCUGCCAUACUCAGUCAAAAGGAAUGACUUAAGAUGAAGAUGAUCAUCUGCUCGAGUCUAAAAUAUACAUUGUAUAUAAGAAUUGGUGAUUAGAAAAGCAAAAAACCUAAAACUUAAAUCUAGGAGUCUGUAUACUGUCUCCAUGUCUCCAUGCCUCAGAUCUCAUCUAAAUCUUUGAACAGCACCAUUCAACCAAUCUGAGGCCUUGACUUGCUUGUAAGAUGAUUCUCAGAGAUCGGCUGAGUUAAAAAAGAUGACGACUUGAUUACCAAAGAAAGUAGGGCCAACUUUGACAAAUCUGGCUCUGCUGACCCUGUCACUCCCAGAUGUAGCAUAGACUCCUAAACAGAACCUCAAGUCUGAUUGAGGAUAAGGCCUUCUCCUGAGCUGAAAGUUCUUUGGCAGAUGAGCAAGAAACUGAAAGCUGAUGUACCUGACUGGCUCUGUAAGAUCAGAAAACUGUAUCCAGAAUAAGCCCUAUGGAUUAACCCCUGAGUACCCAGAGUAAAAACUAAUUUACAGAACUUCCUUAUUGAUCUGCUGGUUCUUCCAGAUCAUAUUCUGGCUAUUGGUAUGGCUGGCCUUUCUGAAGGUACCCUGCUUGUCUAUUUUCCUGACUCAGCUCUUGCCUGCCUUUUUCACAUGUUGCUGCAAUUAGACUCACCGUGAGGACUACAGUCAAUUUCAGUCUAUCUUGUGCCCAAUACAACAAGGAUUUUUAAUAGUAACAACCCACACCUCACCCACUAGGACUCAAUGUUCACAACAGGAAGGACCAUUGCUGCAUACUCCUUGACCAGCAACUUUUUUGAAGAUAUUUUUAAGUGCAGAGUAGGCCUCUAUUCCUGUAUGUAAUUGUUCAUUUUCAGCACCUGGAACCUCAUCUAUCGGGUCUGGAAGGAAUACAGCAGUUCGAAAGCCGCGUCCAUUUCUCUCCUUCAGUAGUGCAGAAAUGAGUCCGAUUCACCAGUACACACAGAACUGUACCAGUUCAACCUAGCAAAAGAAGAAAAGUUUCCACUGUACUUAAAAUUUACAGCUGACUCAAAUUGCCUCACAGAAUUAUUUGAUGUAGAAGGCUAGUUGUCUUACUUCAGAUCAGCAGGACAGUUGGGCUCUCAGACUCAUGACCACUGAGUUUGCUUGUGUUGAAACUGUGGUUUCAUCCAACAUAUGCUAUUGGACAUGAUUAUUAUUCCAUUCAAAUGGAUUACAGACUUCUUGAGGACAGGACAAACUUAUCUCUCAUGGUGUUUUUUUAGAAUACUUUUAUAACCAAGGAAGAAACCAUGCCAGCUGUUACCAUUCAACUUCUUAAGCAGAGAUUAAGCUUUUUCAUAUCUGUUCUUAUCCUGGACAUCAGUAGUUUUUAAUUGCCCAGCAUCCGUUCCAUCUUGUAACAACUCCCUGAUGUUUCUUAAAACCACCUCUUCCUAUUUUCAGUCUGUGGUUUGGACAGUCUGACCCAACCUUGAGCUUUGUGGGUGAACAUGUAAUUCAGACCUCAUCAAUCAGCAAAUCCAUCUGAACUGUGGAGGAGAAGCUCUCUUUACUGAGGGUGCUUUAGCUUUGUAGGAUGAAAACCUCAAACUAACAGGGCCUACCAUGUAGAGAAUGAAGCCAGUGCAGGGGAAAGCAGAGCCAAAAUAUGGAGAGACUUGAAUCCUGAUGACAGCGUUUGUGCCCCUGGAUCCAACCGUGCCUGAAGCUAGAAUAUCCCCUGGACUUUUCAGUUAUGUGAACCAAUAAAUACCCUUUUUUGCUUAAGUUACUUUGAGUUGGGUUUCUGUUACUUGAAAUUGAAUCCACACUAAUAUAUCUACCAACAUUGAGACUUGACAGAUCCAAGUAUUUAUUAAGCUAGAGGUCAUGGUCACUGAAAUUACUUUCCAAAGUGGAAGACAAAAUGAAACAGGAACUGAGGGAAUAUUUAAGAUCCCACAGAAGCGUAAAAAUGACAUGGUAGAAAGUAAUAGAAAACCUAAAUGUCUGUCAUUAAAGGAUAGGUUAAGGUGUGGUUCAGCCAUAUAGGAAUAUCUCGUAUCUGUUAAAAUGAAUAAAGUACAUUCAUUGUGUAUGGAAAAAUGGCCAUGAUACAUUAGGUGAAACAAGUUAUUAAUAGAAAAGUGUACAGUGUGAACUCAUUUUAAAAUGUGUGUGCUUAUGUUUAUAAAUGCAUAGAAAGGUCUAUUCACAGCUUUCUUUGAACAGUGUAGAUCACAUGAAACUUUCAACUUUAUACAUUUCUGUAUUAAUAUUUUACACUACCCACAUUAUUUUUAAACUUUAUUUUAAAUAAAGAAUUUUUAAAAUUAAAUUUAGUGCUU
rnacentral:lncRNA from 1 species